GACGCCGCACAACUGGGCCGACGGUCGACUCCCGUGAGCGUAGGGGUUUCACGCCCGGCCCCGGAAAGCUGAAU
rfam:Mycobacterium sp. 1100029.7 contig_60, whole genome shotgun sequence.